AGCACCGGGUCCCUCCUCCUCACGUGGUGGUUGUUACUCUGAAGCUGCCGGGCUGUCGUGAGGGUGAUGGAUUUUGAGAAUCUUUUCUCCAAACCCCCCAACCCGGCCCUGGGUAAAAAUCCGAGCACGGACUCUGAUAAAAGAAUCGAUGAUGAAAUAGAUGAUACAGAAGUUGAAGAAACACAAGAAGAGAAAAUUAAAUGGAAAGUAAAACUGGAGUGUGAGCAAAUACCCAAAAAAUUUAGGCACUUGGGGAAUGCUACAGCAUCACCGAACAAAUUGCUACAUAGAAAAUCAAGAAGUAAGGACUAUGAUGUAUAUAGUGAUAAUGAUACCUGCAAUCAAGAAUCGGAAGACUCUUUUGCUAAAGAGCUUCAGCAGUAUAUACAAGCUAAAGAAAUGGCAAAUGCUGCUCAAUCCUUACCAUUUCCUGAAGAAUCGAAGAAAGAGGGAGUGAAGGACACCCAGAAAAGUAAGGCUAUUAAAAAAAAUAAAAACCUUAAAACUAUAAAGAAAAAUGGUAAACAGAAGAAACUGAAGCGAAAAUGGCCCGGCGCUGGACACAAAGGAUGCCACGCUUCACUGAGGAACAGUGGUGCAAAGGAGCAGGAUGGUAAACCGCAAGAGAAGCAGCAGCAUGUGAGAAUGAGUCAGGGAUUCAUCAACCAACAUACAGUGGAACGCAAGGGGAAACAAAUUUGUAAAUAUUUUCUUGAAAGGAAAUGUAUUAAGGGAGACCAGUGUAAAUUUGAUCAUGAUGCAGAGAUAGAGAAGAAAAAGGAAGUGUGUAAGUUUUAUGUACAAGGAUAUUGUACCAGAGGUGAAAACUGUCUUUAUUUGCAUAAUGAAUAUCCUUGCAAGUUUUACCAUACAGGAACAAAAUGUUAUCAGGGUGACUGUUGCAAGUUUUCACAUGCUCCACUGACUCCUGAAACACAAGAACUGUUGGCCAAAGUUUUGGAUACUGAAAAGAAGUCAUCAUGAAAAUAAAAGGCAUGAAAAAGAUAUCUCAUUGUCCCAGCACCAUUUCAAAGAAAAGACUACCCUUUCUCUAUUUUGUAUAGAUGAAGAGUGCUUAUGUCUACGCCUGUUCAAGACUUGAUUCGGAGUGGUUUACAAGAGUCCUCAUUUAAAGCGCCCUCUUGUGUCGCUAUGGUGUUGUGCAUCUUCUCUGAUUGAUAGCAGAGGGGCAGAAUCUAGUGUGUAAGUGAGGGGAUCGGCCUUCACCCAGCUGUCCCAACCAGGGAACAGGAAAGGAGCAUACAUGGCAGAGAUGCUGGCUGGUAGGUGAAUGUUGUGGUAGUAAACGGCAGAAGGCUUUUCUGAUGGCGUUUUGUCAGUAAGAUAGGAAGGAAGAUUAGGCUGAGUGCAGAUGCAUGAAGAGAUACAGAAGAUUAGAGAGAGAGAACUGUUAGGUUUCUCUAGGAACACAUUGGGAUAAUAGGUGGAUAUGACUCUACAGUUAGAUCUUUUCAUGUCAUUUAAUACAUUUACAGCAUAUUUUUAAUGGUUGCUCACAAUUUUGUUUUAUGGUUUAAGUUACAGUUUGUGAUUUUUUUUAAAAAACCACUUUCCUGUUGUUUCCAACUUCUUAAUAUUACAAAUAAAAUGGGACAAUGUCUCUUGCUGUACCAUUCCUAAA